rnacentral:rRNA from 1 species
GAUGAACGCUGGCGGUGUGCCUAAUACAUGCAAGUCGAGCGAACAGACGAGGAGCUUACUCCUCUGACGUUAGCGGCGGACGGGUGAGUAACACGUGGAUAACCUACCUAUAAGACUGGGAUAACUUCGGGAAACCGGAGCUAAUACCGGAUAACAUGUUGAACCGCAUGGUUCAACAGUGAAAGACGGUCUUGCUGUCACCUAUAGAUGGAUCCGCGUCGCAUUAGCUAGUUGGUAAGGUAACGGCUUACCAAGGCAACGAUGCGUAGCCGACCUGAGAGGGUGAUCGGCCACACUGGAACUGAGACACGGUCCAGACUCCUACGGGAGGCAGCAGUAGGGAAUCUUCCGCAAUGGGCGAAAGCCUGACGGGGCAACGCCGCGUGAGUGAAGAAGGUCUUCGGAUCGUAAAACUCUGUUAUUAGGGAAGAACAAAUGUGUAAGUAACUAUGCACGUCUUGACGGUACCUAAUCAGAAAGCCACGGCUAACUACGUG